rnacentral:lncRNA from 1 species
AUGCCUUAUAGUAUGCAUGCAAAGAGAAGCAAAAACGCCCUAUUCCUAGCUGCCUGACCUUCCUAACUAGUGCGCGCGCGCAUAUAACCUUUCAAAAACCUGCAAGGGAAACCCCCGAAUGUGGAGUCUCGGUCAUGCCCCUAGCUUAACUUAACUUAACCUAGUGUGCCAUCGCACCUGGUGAGCUUCCACAAACAGGGGUAAGGUUUGCAUGCCUUAUGUUAAUUUCUUCCAUUGUCGAGCCGCCAAAACAGAGAGGGGACCUAAUCUCUGGUAGCGAACUGUUUUCAUAUAACCUGGGGCAGAAAACUAACGUUCGAAACCAGCGAUAUACAUGCACUACGGGCGAUGAAAGAUACAACUUUCCAAGACAAUAUACCGCCAAUUUAUUAUCUUUACUUACUAAAGCCUAGACUAUUUAUCAUUACAAUAUCAUGUCAUUACAGUCUUAAACUGAUCUUUUUAUCUUGUCCAACGAUAUCCACCAAUCUUCUUACGGGUACCAUUUGCACCCUCUAAGCUAUGGAUACCAUUUGCACCCAGUUUAGUUAUCCUAUCCAAGGAAAACUCUGCCAGCUUUUCAACAAAAUUUUACCUACACCCAUAUAUUACAUACACAAAUAUACAGAUCAUGUAAUGAGUUAAGGUUAAGGUUAUAGGGUUAGAUUUAACCCCAAGCCAAAGCCUAACACAUUUCAUGAUAUUUCUAUACAUUUAUGAACAUAACAUAUUGAUAUAAACAAAAUUUUUAAGUCUGUCAAGGUUUUACUUGUCUGCCUAUAUUCUGGAUACUAGUUGCGCGCUGCGUUUAUCCAUGCACAGAGACGGAGACACCUAAGCAGUACAUUUACACAAAGAGAAGAACAUUGGCACGAACAGACCGCAAAUAGCUAGAGUGGGUCUCAGUACGAGUUUCUAGAGUGAAAAAAUAAUGUUCACUGUUUUUUACUUUAUGUAGCAGUCUUGUAUUUGAAGCAAAAUAAAUUGGUCCAGCAGGUGUCAAAAUUUCUGAUAUUGACAAUCGUUUGGAUUGUAACACUUACUGAAACCCACCAAUAAUCGAACCGAGUGCAUGCAACGAACCACGUGACCGGAAGCUCAAAUGUUAAUCUCUUAAGAUUGACUUUCGAUUGCAGACGAUGUCGAAAUUCUGAUUAACUGAGGUGAAAAUUGUACCUCAUUUUUUAUUAGCAUGCAAACAUCUGAAUAAAAGUCAACCUUGUGUGCAAAUGUACAACUAACGACAGACCGCCAGGUUUUUUAAACCGUUUUAUCCCAGAGACGUCACCGAACACAUGCAAAUUAGAGUCCUGGGUAACUACUGCCUGAUAGCAGGCUAACCCUUAACUACUGCCUGAUAGCAAGUUAACUACUGCUUGUUAUCAGACUAAUACUCUAACCUUGAGGCAGUCGUCUCGUUCCCGUCGUGCAGCUUUCGUUAUCAAGAUACAUCGGUAGGUUAACCGUCGAUCGCGAGGUACAUUUUAUCCACAAAUGUUCACAAUAAUCCUGAAGUGUUCGUUGUAAUCCAUCAAUGUUCAUUAUAAUCCAUUAAUGUUCACAGUAUCGAUCUCCAAUAGUAAACAGUAAUCCGUAUUUAUCCACUGAUAUCCGCUACGACUCCCACGGGACCUCCCAUCCGACACCUCAAAUGACGUUUUGGUCAGUUUUAAAUUUUAUUGGUUAAUUUUU